AGUGCAAAGGGUCUUAAUACUUGAAAAUGAAAAGUUAAAAGCAUCACUAGCUCAGAGUAAACAAGACAUACAAUUAUUACAAGAGAAGAUAACAAUAAUAAACAUGCAACAAAUUGAAAGAGAUAAACAAGUGCAAGAAAAAGAACAAAUGUUAGUAUUGAAAAUUAAAAACUUGGA